rnacentral:rRNA from 1 species
UAGCCAGACUCCUACGGGAGGCAGCAGUGAGGAAUAUUGGUCAAUGGGCGGGAGCCUGAACCAGCCAAGUCGCGUGAGGGAUGACGGCCCUAUGGGUUGUAAACCUCUUUUGCCGGGGAGCAAAGUGCCGCACGUGUGCGGUUUGGAGAGUACCCGGAGAAAAAGCAUCGGCUAACUCCGUGCCAGCAGCCGCGGUAAUACGUAGGUGGCGAGCGUUAUCCGGAAUGAUUGGGCGUAAAGGGUGCGUAGGCGGCCUGCUAAGUCUGGAGUGAAAGGUACCGGCUCAACCGGUACAGGCUCUGGAAACUGGCGGGCUAGAGAGCAGGAGAGGGCGGUGGAACUCCAUGUGUAGCGGUAAAAUGCGUAGAUAUAGGGAAGAACACCAGUGGCGAAGGCGGCCGCCUGGCCUGUUACUGACGCUGAGGCACGAAAGCGUGGGGAGCAAAUAGGAUUAGAUACCCUGGUA